UUGGUGGGCGUACAUUUAAACUCUUCAUGAUUGGCUGAUGCGGAGAUCAUCCUUCCAAUAGCAGCUAGCUUAAGGGCUGCGACUAGACUCAUAGAAUCUGGGGUUACAAUACGUAACCAACGUUCUGUUUGAUGCAGAAAAUAAUAAAACAUAAAACAAUUUCUACACUUCCAAUAAUAUUUAAGAUGUGUGUUUUAUUCUUUCUGAUAAUAACACCAGCAGAAGGCUGUGGGCUGGAUUAGGAUUAAAUUACCCAGCUGAUGGAUCUCUUUCACUAACCAGCUAACUACAAAACUUUCCACUAACCUGUCCUGUGUAACCCUCACCCUUUAACCCUCAUGUCCAUGCUGUCUCUGGAGGAGCAGAUAGGAGACAAGACCUCCUGUAACCUAAAAUGAACCAAAGCUUCCUCCCAGUUUCUCUUUAAGCUGAAUUUAACAUCAAACAAAAGAAUAAAGUGGAACAAGAACUUCUAUCUUCUAUCUCUCUCGCCUUUUAACUUCUCCGUGUUCCUAAAUAAAAGAGACAGACGAUCACGCUGCAGCCGCCGUCAUUGACACCGCCCCCUCCCCAAGACCGGAUCUCCCUACAUUACAACAAGCAGUCUGACUGAGGAGAAAUAAUAAUUAAAUUAUGAAAAUAACGCGUGUUUGGAGCAUCGGUUUGGAGGAGCGUCCUCCGAUCGUCUCUCUUGUGUGAGCAGACAGUCUCUCUCUCUCUCUCUCUCUCUCUCUGUUGCUGAUCGAGCGAGCGGAGCGCGCAGCACGACAACCCGCUCAAUUAACAUAAUUCACGGCCCAAAUCCAACAGAACCGGUCGGGCUGAUUCGGUUCCGGUUUGGUCUCAGGUUACAACUCCAGCGCUCAGCCCUGCAGUACCACAUUAAGGCGGAGGUAAAUGUGGAGGACGCUCACUCUGACAGAUCUGGAUGGUGCGCUGGUGCCGCCAUUAAAAAAAACAAAACUACAUUCCACUAUAAUCGAUUAUGGCGUACUUUUCUACGAUGCAGAAUCGUUUAUGUCCGCAUCCUGAUGCAUCGAUUAUUUGAUUAUUUUCCUCAGCUCUAAUCCUCAUCCCUGUGAUGGAAUGGAUGUGUUCCUGCCAGUUCAGGAGGAACCAGGGUCCACCUGAUGCCCCCUGAGACAGAGCCAGACACCGCUGCACGCUCUGCCCUCUAUCGGCAGCAUACAAGCCCGUUCCAACCAGGGACAACCGUCCCUAUGCCACCAGACCCACUCAGGGGUGGUGCAGCCACCAGGCAGCAACCUGUGGCCACCGUCAAUACCUCCCAAGGCCCCGCACAUGACCACUAGAAGCCCACCCACCCCACAUCGCCCAAGAACCACCAGAAUGUGGCAGCAGCCCCCUAGCACCAGACACCCCUAGUAAACCCUCCCCCAGGGAAUCUCAAGAUGCUUCAAAUUCAGACUCUCCUCCACAUCUACCAUGGUAUCCUGUAGGACAAUAUCAAUGACCCUCCAUCAUCGCUAUGCGAUGGAACUGAUCAAAGGAGCCCAGAGAGAUUGAUCUGGAGUGGUGGCAAAGGCUGUCUCAAGUGUAAUAUAAUCCAACAAGAUUUCUAAACUGGUUAAUGCAAAGACUAUCUCUAUUUUUCUAGUGUUUGAGGAGAGUUUUCUUGGCGAUGCAAAUGGCAGUCAGAACCACAUUAACCAGAUUGGUUUCAGUCAGGACAUCAUCCAGGUUUCCUAGCAAACCAAAUGAGGGGGAAGCUGGGAUAUCACAUUUCAGGCACUUUGACAGGUCUUCACAUUACAGCAGAAUCCCUGACCAGGACCACAGUGUAUGGAUAUAAUUGUCAGGAAUGUUUUGUGUGCAGGUGUCAGACAGCACACACAACAUUCUGACUUCUGAUGACCUGUAUAAUGAACUCUGCAGAAAUUUGUACUGAAUUAAUUGUAAAUUGGGGUUCCUGGUCAAUUGAAACAUUUUUAAAUAACUCUGAGACCAGAAAUUCUGGUCAAAGCUGACUGAUCGAUCCACCUCCCAUUAUUCUAUAGGAAUUGCUGUAGAAUCAUCUAUUUUGGCUCUGCUGACUCUAACAGUUAGCUUCUACUAGCCGAGAUGUUCUCUGCUGUUUCCUGGACUAAACCAACAACAGCUUCCCCGUCGUGAGUCCAGAUGGGUGAGUCCAUGAAUGUUAGUGACAGUGUGAUAUAGAUCUGUCAGGAUUUUCUAUCCUAGAGUUUCACCAUCUGUUUUCUAUCAGAAGCUGAAUGCUGGAGAUAGGUGUAGGAGACUAUUUUCAUGUUCAGCCUGUAUGAAGCACUCAGGGUGGCCCGAAUCAGAGAUAAUCAUUUAAAUGUGUUUUUUCAGAGAUUUUUUUUUGUUUAAGUAUUACAGCAAAAAAAUCAAAUGUAUGCCUGAGUCAGAAAAAAGUGGUUCUGAGUUUUAUCCGGUCUGCUCGGACAAGAAUUGAUUGAUUGGUGAAAAAGUGUGGUACAGGCGAGUCUUUGAAGUUUCCAUGUCUCUGUUAAACUCUCGAUCCCUGUGAGUCAUUCCGUUGGUUUGCUCCUCCUCUUGAGGACUUCCACAUUCAGUAGUCCGUUGGGUUGCAGACCAAACUCGUUGCCACUUAGUCACUUGUUUGACUGAAUGAACCAAAUCCUUCUGAGUUUGUUGGAAAUGUUGCUUCAUCUGGCCAGAAUACAAAGUAAUCUGGAUACAAACUGGGAAAAGUUUGUAAAUCCCAAUGUGGCUGAGUCAGCCUGGAGUCCAGAACCAGAUCUCCAGUGUAAAGUUGACCUCACUCUUAAGAUGAGGAAUGAUGAGAACCAUUUAGAACAUCCGUGCUGAAGCAGGACUUUUCUCACCAAAUCAAGACUCAAAGCAUGUAAACCAAGUCAAACAUGACCACUCUUCUCCACAUAAGUGUAUUGCUGCCACCCUUUCAAAGUAAAAUCUAUACCACGUAAUAACAUGAAAAGUUUAUUGCUUGAACUACAUCUAAAAGAUUUUUACAUUAUUGAUGUCUAUGUACUGAUUGUGUAAAACAUUAAAAUGUGUCUGUAACAAUGUAAAAUAAUUUAAGGACUUUUCACAUGCUGUAGCACUUUUAUUUUGAAAGAGUUUCAGGAUUUUAAACUCUUUGAAAGUUCUUUUUACUAAGCUGAUUGCAUUUGAAACUCUCCAGUUUGCAGCAGAGCCUGUCUCAACCAGUCCCAGUGUUGAUAUCAAAACAAGCACACACACACACACACACACACACACACACACACACACACACACACACACACACACACACACACACACACACACACACACACACACACACACACACACACACACACACACACACACACAUGCCUACACAACAAAUGGGAUCCGCCUCCUAGUAUUUCCUGGAGUGCAUGGAAACCCACCAUGAGCUACUUUACCCACAUACCCUGAUGUACACACCAUCGACAUACAUAUAUGGACAAUGGGUUUCCAUACUCCAAUAACACGUUUUUGAAGAAAAAUGGGAGGUGGCCACCACUGCCAUUUUGACCGUGUCACAGGUUCCGUCAAGCCCAGACAAUUCCACAAAAGGGAAGACAGGUGGAGCUGAGGGUGGGGCUGUAAGGCUGGGAUCAAAUGACGACACUCGGUUGAACUAGCUACAAGCUAACCUGAAGCUAACCCAAAGCUAACGCGGAGGUGGGAGCUAAGCUAAUGGAGGUAGCUACCUAGCUACAACUGGAGCUAACUCUGUGGAACACCAGCGACCUGAAGCUCACACGGAGUUUGUGUGGAGGUUUGUGGCGCUUUUUCAUGAAAACUAUCUUUCUGUGAAUAAAAAAGUAUUAAAUUGGUGAGUUUAUGUUAUUUCCUUAAUGAAAAUAUAUUUUUCUUUGAGCAAGUUUUCAAUAUUUUUAGCGUACCAUAUUUUCCGGACUAUAAGUCGCUCCGGAGUAUAAGUUGCACCAGCCAUAAAAUGUAAAAUGAAGAAGAAAAAAACAUAUAUAAGUCGCACUGGACAAUAAGUUGCAUUUUGGGGGGAAAUUUCAUUAUUUUUCUUACAAAAUCUUAGACCAAGCGUUUCACAUUGCAAGACAAGUACGGGUAACUAUAACAGAAUAAAUGCGGGCGCAGAAGCGCACCACGGUCUCCAGUAGAGGAUGGAGGUGUUUGAAACCCUCCCAGCGGGCCAGGGGAGCUCAUUCCUAGGUCGGAGCCAGCCCGCAGCAGCGCACCACAGGCUGCAGCAGGUGAUGGUGGGGCAGAGGAGCUGAAACCUGGGCCGGAUCCAGUGUGCAACAGGCUCCAGCAGGUGAUGGCUGUGUGGUUUUUAUUCCCAGCGGGACAGGGAAGCUCAUUCCUGCUCCAGAGCCGGCCUGCAGCAGCGUCGUAUAGCCUACAUAAUUUGGUAUAUAAGUUGCUCCGAAGUAUAAGUCGCAGGACCAGCCAAACUAUGAAAAAAAGUGUGACUUAUAAUCCGGAAAAUAUGGUAGUUAUUAGUAUCUGAGAUAAAUUAGCAGGCUAAAUACAUUUCAUAAAUUUCCAAAACGUAAUACUUGUUUGUAUCUCGUACAGCCAAGUAGCCUUUAUUCUGGACUCAGUACAAUUCACCAAAAGUAAAGAGACAUACAGAUGAAGUAAGGACAAGAUAACGUACUGGAAGAAACAGAAUUAUCAUGAGAACCAGAACAAGAGAGCCUGAUAACAGUCAUGUGAAAAUAACAAUUAAAAAGUAUGUAUGUGUAGUAGAAAUAAAAAUAUAUUAGAAUUAGUGUAACUCACUGUGAUCCAAACAAUAAAUCAGCCAUAGCUGAUUAGCAAUCAUGAAAUGAGGUCUGGGAGUUUUGAAGUUUCAUUCUUUUAUUACAUUUUUUUUCUUAGAUCUGUUAAAAGGUCACCAUGGCAGCCUGUGUCUCCAACAUCAGCUACACAACGCAGCAAGUCCAUUUGGAUCAUUGGAGACAGCUACGUGAGGCGUGGUGCCCAGAGAGCUGCAGAGACCCUCAGAGACAACCUUGGCCUCCCUGACGUCCGUGUCUCCUGGUUCUGUUGGAGCGGACUGAGGUGGAAAGACCAUCUCCCCUUCUUUUAACACUCCCUGCGAGGAAGAGCAGCUCCUGAUGUCCUUCUCAUCCACUGUGGUGGCAAUGACAUGGGGGUGGUCAGCAGUGUGAAUCUGGUGAACAUGAUGAAGGAGGACCUGCACCGGCUUCACCUUCUACACCCUCAUAUGAUGAUCAUCAUAUCAUCCAUCACCCAAAGGUGUAGCUGGAGGGCAGGUGUAAAACCUGCUAAAAUUGAGAAGGCCAGGAGGUUUAACAGUGUUAUGGGCUCGACACACGGGAGGCGACAUUGCCUCUCCUCCAUUCAUUUUCAAUGAGACAUGCGCGACAAAGCGAUAAUCGCGGGUCUCUCUCCUACCAAGCGAAACGCGAAAAACGUGCGUGUGAAAUUUUGCAAUCGUGCACGUGUCGUGCACGGACGACCCAGCGACGCGAUCCCAGAAAGUUGAAACAUUUUCAACUUUUCAUCGCUGUCGCUCGGACGAGGACCAAUCAGGUUUCAUUCACUGACCAAUGAGCAGACAUAAUGCUCCGCACAUCUCAGAGCAAACAUGAAGGAGAAGUUAUUAUGUUUUAUAUAGUAAAAUCAGAAGUAAGAUUUCACAUAACUCUAGCAGCACCUUGUGAAACAUCAUAUCUACCGCUUUAUUAACUCUGAACCGCUUAAAUAACCUUAAUUCCCUCCAACCUGACACAGCCAAACAAAACAACGGAAGUUUCGAUUUCUCCAUGGAACAGAACGGGUAGACGGCUUUGCCGCUGGCCGCUGCCGCGGGUCGCCUCCCGUGUGACAGGUAAUAAAAGCGACAGCGACAAAUUUCGCUGAUCGCGGUCGUUUGUCGCCUCCCGUGUGUCGAGCCCAUUAUGGCUACACUUAUUUCUAGCUUAAAUGGUGCCGUUGUUGUGCAUCCUCACAUCACAUCUUCCUGUACCGACACUAUGUGUCCUGUUAUUUUAAAUAGCCUAAUGUAAAAAAAAAAAGUUUUUGCUCAAUUACUGGAAUUUCUUUGGUAAAGUCAAAAAAGGAAGAAUCAUUUAUGCCAAGUUAUUUCUACAACAAGCCCAUUUUAAGUCCAACAGUUUCUUAGCAGCCAAUAGAAAUGUGUUCUUUACUAACUUUACUUGGUUUAAAAAUCUUACUAAAAUAAACCUUAGAAGCUGCCGUACUGCAAAACCCAAUCAUACUUGUUAUGUAAAUAUUAGCUUUUAGAUAUUUUUUACAGAUAGAUAUUUGUGUGCUAAAAAAACACAUAAACUGAAAUAAUUUGUCAUUCUUCAUUGAAAAUCAACAAAAUACAGGUAUACAGGAAGUGUGGGAAAAUGAUAAUGUGAAAGUAUUGCUCUUUAAAUGUAAUACUAUUUAUCUUUUUUUUUUUAAACUAAAAAAGACUUGUACAGCAACAUAGACGAAUGGUGGUCUGUCUGUCAGAAUGUGCUGAACAGAUUUGCUCUAUCAAAAGGAGCCUUUUGUGUACGAGUUUAUGUUAUUGUACCAUUGGUUUGGGUCAUGUAUCGCCACAUUAGCAUGUAAAUGCUGAACCAAUCUGGAAUAAAGAGGGUUGAUAGAGGACAAACAAGUAAAUAAGAGAGAAGUAUAAAAACAACUAGGAAACAACAUAAAAAAACAGCAACCAGCUGCUGCACCUGUAAAGAAACAUUUCUAAGAAUCAUCAAGAAAACGUGGGAUGAGCAACUAUAAACAUGUAAACCAUGAACAACAAACAUCAACAAGCAUGUGUUCAUGCGUGUGCUGGGAUGUGAAGUGUGAGACGUCCAAGGAUCAGGUGCACUCUGGAACCGCCCCAAGUACCAGGAAACCAGCAGCCACCACAGAGCACAGAACCAACUGAGACCACCUCCCAGACAGCCGAGCUCCUUGCUACAGAAAACUCAGCAAGGCCACAUCCAGAACCGGGCUGACACAGGUCAUGGGCCACAGGACACAGGAAUCACUCAGCAAUUCCACCUGAAACAGAAUCAUUAAAAUUAGAAUCAAAUACAACUGUUGUUCAGUAUGACAUAACUGUCACGAUUAUGAGACAGACUAAACAGACUUUUAGCCAGACUGAAAAAAUGUUGCCAGAAAAAUAUUUGUGCUGCUAUCAUUGAAAAAAUUUAUGGUAAAUAAAAGUUUCCAAAGGUUAUCCUAGGUCAAACCCCCUUUCAAACACCAGUGUUUACCUGCAGUCACACACCUGGCAUGAAUGAGUGAGGCAUCUGCAUGGUAAUUCAAAUGGAAUUUUAAAGAGCAAGUAACGUCUAAAUUAACUUUUUUUUGCUGAUGAACUGUAUAAAUGAGUGUCUGUGUUUUAAAUGUGUGUAUUCAUUAUUUUAGCAUUUUGGUGCAUUUUCUUUAAAAAUUCUGCCUAAAUACCACAGUAUAGCUCCACCUUCAGCUUAAAACAUAGAAUUUGACUCAUUUUGAAUAAAUUUUAGCCAAUGGCUAAAGAGUAAGAUACUACGUAAACCAGUAGAGUACUACGUAGCAGCUCUGUGUCAAAGUUAUAAAAGCAUGGAGAGUCUCGGCCACGCCUUGUGGCGAGUUGGGAGUUGGAUUUGCAAGCGAGUGUAGGACGGUUAGCGGUAGUUCAGCAUUAGCAUAUAGCAUUAGCAUAUCCUAGUCUUUAGCAUAGCUUUUAGUGUUAUACAUACUUAUUUAGUGUUAGUUUGGCUGUUGGAUAUUGUAGUUUAGUUAGUGUUUGGCUGUUAGUGUAAUUAGGAAAGUAGUUGGGGUUCAGUGCUCCAUAUCGUGUUAGUAAGGUGAGACGGUGUAGUGUAGUAUGGUUGCGGUGGCUCUGUGGGCAUUUUACCCGCGAUUCUGCACGUCUCCGUUUGAAGAGGGAGGCUGUGCCCACCAUGGCUCUUCCGCGAUUUAGAUGCAGCCCACCGACUCUGCUCCCCCACCACGGCGGGCUCCAGUCUGAGGUGAGUACGCUAAAUAAACGUUUUAACAUCUUCUAAAGACAAUUCCCUACCUAAAUGCAAAGUUUGAGAGACGUGGCUCACUUCCUUUAGCUAGUCAGUCGGAAAUUCUGCAACAGUGGCUCUAACCCCCAAAUUCCACUACCUCCGCUCCGCUCCGGUCCACCCCCGCCUUCCGCAGCCGCUCGCUUCCAAACUCAAUUUUUACUGGUACCCGCUCUACAACGGCUCCGCUCCGCUCCGGAGACCUGAGGUGGGCAAACAAGCAUGUGCGGGAUUUUCGAGAUCUUGCGAUACAGUCCGAGCAAUAAACGCGGAAGUUAGAUCCAAACACCUGUUUAAUCUGCCCAUCAUUUGUGUUGAUAGAUCAGCAGUGUUUGGAUCAACAAAGUGUGUCUACUUUGAUAGUGGAAACUGCAUUUAUGGUUUACUUUUGUGCAUUUAAACUUCAGCCGCCAUUGAUAGUUGUUAAAAGUUGUUAAACCUGUGCAUAUGAAACAAAAAACGCCUUUUGUUUAUCGAUUUAUUGUGAAAAACGGAAGCUGUGCUUGCUCCUUUUCCUGUUGGGCCGUUGUGAUUUCUGUCCAUUUACUGCGGAGGUGCUCCGGCGUCCGGCAAAAAUAGGAUCGAUUCUAUUUUUGCCGGACGCCGGAACAGAGGGCGGCGCACGGCACCGCACUGCCGGAGCACGGCCGCAGUAGUGGAAUUACUCUGAUUGACUACAACGGGACCGAUUUUGCUCCGGCGUUCGUGUCGGAGAGGAGGUAGUGGAAUUUGGGGGUAACUGACGCAGCACUAGUUGACACACAGCAUUACAGCGUGAAAUCCAGCUUGUGACCCGGUUCUGUAAGGAAUUCUGUUCAGGAGGUCGCAUUUCAAGCUCUCCACAUCAUAUGUGACUGACUUUUACGUUAUAAUAACGAUCACACACUAGGAAUGUUAUAAAGCGCCUAUAUAGGACAGUUUCUUUUGUAUUUUAUCUGACUUUAUAAACUCCAACAACAAUGUGCUUCUAUUUUUUUUUCCAGGCUAAAUCUACCCAAGACAUUGGCAGUCAGACUGAUUAGCUGCAACAAUGCACUUGUCCAGGCUGACGUGAAGCCUUACCCGUAGCAAAGCCAGCCAGAAUAGAGCUCACAGCCGCAGUGUGUCUUGUGACACAGAGAUCAUGACGGAAAUUCAUCUUCCAGAAAGUCCCAGAGCAGCGUCCACACCCCUGAAAAGACCAGAAUGUAAGGUGUCUGCUGUUGAUUCCAGCUUCCACCUCAGUGACAGUGCAAGCUCAGUGAACUGUUCAAGGUAAAAAAAAAAUUUAAAACAUUUCAGAAUUUUUAAGAUAUUAACAAUUAAAUAAGUAUGUGAUUACAUCAUGACAUCAUGAAGGAGGCUACUGAUUCUGGCCCUGUGACACUUGGUGGUGACGUGUGAGCUGAUUCACCUGGACCCUCAGCAAAAUAUGGACUCUACACCAUGAAGCAGGCACACGUUAAUACUCUAUAAGAGCCCAUAAGCUUGAGGAUGUCCUCACACACCUGUAACUUAUCAGCUCAUCUGGCAGAAAAGAGAGAGAAGAGACAACACCACAUCUCCUGUUCCUGGAAAGCCUUCAGCCAUCCUUCGAUGACUGAGAACCUCCAUCAGCUCUGUCUCCUGUCUGCCUACAAUUAUUAUAAUAAAUAUUGUGUUUGACAAGUUUUUUGUGCUGCCAAACAUCUCAUUUAGAUUCCAGUUUUGAUAUUUUAAUGGAUAUUUAUAAAUUACAUUGAUUAUCACAUUGUCGCAUGUUUAACUAGCUCUAUUGUGAUGAAUUAAACUAGCACCUCACUGUUAAAAGCUCAUUUUAAUUUCAAGCAUGUUUAAGUAUUUAUGGACAUGAACAAAAACAGGAAAUAUAUAAAUUGAGAUUUAUUUAAUUAAUAUAACAAAUAAGGGGGAAAGAGUCAUUGAAAGGCACAUUCUUCCAGAAGCUCCUGAUCCUGACGACACCAGAGACCAGCUGCAGACACCAGAGGACCUAGAACCAAGAGAGCAGCUGUUAUCAGUAAAUAAAUAAUGAAAUCAGGGCAGUUUUAGCGGGCUGAACACAUUACAGAAUAAUUUUCUCAUGGGGUAUUUUCAUAACUUUCUAUGCAGCAGACUAACUUGAGCCCAGGGCUCCUGGAAAGCUGCUAUCCAGCACGUUUCAGUGGUUUUCCUGCUUUAACAGGUUAGAUUAGCUGUUAAGCAGCUCAGCUAUUUGUUGCUGAUUAAAACCAGGUGUGUUGAAGCAGAUAAAUCUCUAAAACAUGCUGAAUACUAGCUCUCUCGGGCCGUGGAGCAAAACCCUGCAGCUAAUCCAAUGCUAUGGCUAACGGCUACUUACCAUUCAGAGCUGGUUCUGUUGGGUUGGUUCCGCUAGUUUCAGGCAACUCACAAGCUCAAAACAAUAAGGCUCAUGUCCGCUUGUCUCCUCCAAAUAGACUUGGUCCCUUUCUUCUCGAAUGUCUGGGUAAGGAGGGGGAGAAACGUCCUCCACUUCUAAUAACUGCUCAGAGUGAAGGGAGCUAGCUUCGUCUAGUUAGCCAUCGUCUUCGUCACUGCCGCGGCUCCGCCCUCUCGGUCCUCCAGGCAACGCCUACUAAUGUUGCAUUUUUUUAAAUUGAUACGUGGGUGGAGUAAGACUCUGAGGGGGGCAUUACGACCUCUUUAAAGAAGGCAACUGGACUUCUUUGGUUUCAUGAAUAUAGGAGGGUCGAUCUUAUUGUAGCUGUCUAUUGUUGCUUGACAAGCAGAAACUGUCACCUGCCAAACACCUCCUCCCUACCUCCUCAUGGUUCGUUUGCAUCGUUAGCCUCUAUUGUGUGGGAGUCGUGUUGAUUAGAUGCAGAAAGGUGUGAUGUCGUGUUACUUUCUUGUAAAUAUGUAUAUAGUGUUUCUUCUUCAUUCAUGCAUGAGUUACAGUUAUUACAUUUUUUUUCAUAUUAUUGCUAUAUUAUUAUUAUUUGCAGU